rnacentral:rRNA from 1 species
CCCUUAGAUGUUCUGGGCCGCACGCGCGCUACACUGACGAAGUCUGCGAGCAUGUCCUACGCCGACAGGUGCGGGGAAUCUUGUCAAACUUCGUCGUGAUGGGGAUUGAUUUUUGAAAUUCUUGAUCAUAAACGAGGAAUUCCUAGUAAGCGCAAGUCAGCAGCUUGCGUUGAUUACGUCCCUGCCCUUUGUACACACCGCCCGUCGCUACUACCGAUUGAAUGGUUUAGUGAGAUCUUCGGAUUGGCGCCACUGCAGCUCAGCAAUGGGCUUGGUGGAUGCCGAAAAGUUGAUCAAACUUGAUCAUUUAGAGGAAGUAAAAGUCGUAACA